rnacentral:rRNA from 1 species
UGGGGAAGUAUUGGACAAUGGGCGAAAGCCUGAUCCAGCCAUGCCGCGUGAGUGACGAAGGCCUUAGGGUUGUAAAACUCUUUCGUCGGGGACGAUUAAUGACGGUACCCGAAGAAGAAGCUCCGGCUAACUUCGUGCCAGCAGCCGCGGUAAUACGAAGGGAGCUAGCGUUGUUCGGAAUCACUGGGCGUAAAGCGCACGUAGGCGGAUAGUUAAGUCAGGGGUGAAAUCCUGGGGCUCGAACCCCAGAACUGCCUUUGAUACUGGCUGUCUCGAGGUCGAGAGAGGUUGGUGGAAUUCCUAGUGUAGAGGUGAAAUUCGUAGAUAUUAGGAAGAACACCAGUGGCGAAGGCGGCCAACUGGCUCGAUACUGACGCUGAGGUGCGAAAGCGUGGGGAGCGAAAC